rnacentral:misc_RNA from 1 species
GAUGAAGAACGUAGUGAAAUGCGAUAAGUAAUGUGAAUUGCAGAAUUCAGUGAAUCAUCGAAUCUUUGAACGCACCUUGCGCUCCUUGGUAUUCCGAGGAGCAUGCCUGUUUGAGUGUCAUUAAAUUCUCAACCAUUAUCAACUUUUGCUGAUAAUGGCUUGGAUGUGGGGGUCUAUUUUGCUGGCUUCUCAGAUAGUCAGCUCCCCUUAAAUGCAUUAGCCGGUGCCCCGCGUGGACUGUCUAUUGGUGUGAUAAUUAUCUACGCUAUGGACAUCUGCAAUCAUAUGGGUUUGCGCUGCUUCUAACAGUCUGUUGAUUCAGACAAUACAUGACAAUUUGACCUCAAAUCAGGUAGGACUACCCGCUGAACUUAAGCAUAUCAAUAAGCGGAGGA